rnacentral:misc_RNA from 1 species
ACGAACGCCACAACAAACACUCUCACCUUCAGCAACAAUGUCUUCCACUGAGAAAUAUUGAAAAAAAAAAAGAAAGGAAAAUAGCAGGGCAACACCGCCGAUCAGACCCAUCAUUACAACAACAAGAAUGAUCCAAUUUCAAGCCGUUCUUCGUCUUUCUACAGCUUCUCUUCUCAAUCCUCCAACUUCUAAUACGUAAUAAUCACUCACUUUCAGAGAUAUAAGCAAAAUUUUGUUAUUCGUAGCUAUAGAUAUAGAGACAGGAAGAGAUUGGGCGAGAAGGAGAAAUGGAUCCAGAGCAGACUUUUAUAAGGUUACAAGAAAGGUUCUCGCAGAUGCUAACACCCAAAGUCAGGGCUGCUUUGGAAUAUAUGUAUUUGUUCAUAGCUGUCACUCUCUUUUGUGUUCUCGUUGUCAUGCACGCCAAUUAUGUUCAACAGCCUGGAUGUUCAUGUGAGCUGUCUGGUGCUGAAACAAUGGAAGCGCAAAUUAUUCAAAUCAAGAUAACCAGUGCAGGUUUGUGGUCACACAAUGAAUCUGAGUCCAAUAUAGCGGAUGUUCCUGGAGUGGAGACUGUAUCAGAUAAACUAACAUUGCUAAAUGU